rnacentral:misc_RNA from 1 species
CAAAGAUGAAAAUACUAAUCUUUCCAUAUACUUUUAAAAUAUUGCCAUCACGAAAUCAAAGCUAGAGAUCAUGUCAAAGGGAAACAAAGACAUCCAUUUCUGGUCACAUAAUAUUUAAAAAUUGUGAGAUAUAAAAACUUGAGUCAAAUAAGCAUUUCAAACCUAAUACAUCAGGUAUACAGCUCAGAAUCAAAAGGAUGAUCCUUAAUCUUACUAAACUUUAAGUAUUUAUCCUCAGCAUCUCCCUUAGAGCUCAAGUCAAUGCCAUGCAACACAGUUCUCUGCAGGAUAGACUUUAUAAGAGCUACCACAGAACCACCACAUUCAGGCCAGGAAAGACAGAGAGCUCCUCUGAUGUUCCUCAUCUGGCAUCGAGCUAAGAGUGCAGCUGCCAAGCCAUCCACCAUACUCCCUGAAGGAAAAUAGUCUAAACCCUUCAGUAAGGAUGAAACUCCACAGACACCAUCUUGCCCUUUCCUCUCUGCCAACGUCUCUAGCUUGAAAGCACAUGUUUCAUCAGAUGAAAGCUUACCCCUGAAAUUCUGGCUCUGAACUGAAUCCAAGAUUAGAACCCUCUCAGGAAUGAUUUGUUCACCAAUAAGCAACUUUGCAACCACAUUAGAUCUCUCAGUACUGACAGAGCACUGAAUGGAAACCAGAAGAGUCAAAUUAUCAGCACUGUUUAGGGCAUAGAUGUUGCAGGAUUUGUUUCCAAGAGAGGGUUUGAAAGUAUUGCCUGAGAAAGGAAUCUCGGGUAGGAAGACACUACCGAUUAGGGUCUUUGAGGAUACAUGGUUGAAGACAUAAAGAGAUGAGGUAGAUAAGGCAAUGAUGAGGAGAGUUGGACGAAGUGGUUGAUCAGGUUUAGGAUUAGAGAAUAGAAGGAAAGGAGAUGGAAGUGGUGAUGAAGGAGGUGUGAAGUUGUUGAGAUCUUCCUGAAAGAACCUUGAAGGUGGUGGAAUCUCUGUGAGGACAUCUUCCAUCUUGAGCGCAAGUUGAACAAAAAGCUGUGACAGUAGAUAAAUCAUGAGAACCAUUGGUACAGUCAUUUGUCAAUAAGGGUUGUAGAUUAAUAUUAGAUCAAUGACUCUUCCAGGUUAGUUUGCAAGUUAUCAGAAUAAAAUCAGAAAAAUAUAAAAAUUGAAUCAUGAAAGUUCACUCUCUCACAUAGGUUACAAGAAAUGACCUUCAAUAACUGUAUAAAAAUAUAUUUAUGCUAUUAUCUCAAUUGAAAUAGAUCCUACAUAUUGUAGUAUAAUUCACUCAAAGGCGCAUUGAUGUUCAUCUUCAGCAUGCAUAGGUGUAUGUCCAAUGUCUCAAAAGGGAUAGUUGAAUCCUAAACAAUUUGCAAUUGCAACUAUAACAUUUUCCCAUUUUGUGCCACAGAACUUCCUAACAGCAUGUCAAGGUUUAUGGCAAGCCCCCACUAGACAAUCUUCACAUUUUUGGGAAUUUUAGUCCAGGUAUUACAUUGUGUUCUUGAUAGGAGAUAAUUUCUAACACAAAACAUUCACAAUACCUAUAUUUUAGAAAUCCAGAUAAAAAUAAACAAGAAGUAAAAGAUAUAUGCAUAUAAAAAUGUACUAGAAUCCACAAAUUAAUAAUUUCAAUUAAUAGCUAGAAGCCUCAAGUAUCCGCACUUGGUAGUUGAUAAUAAGAACAAGCACAUACCAUAUAAAAAUUAUUCCUAAGUGUAAGCGAUAAUGUGGAAUUAUUAACAAUUUAAGUUCACAAAUAGACUAUGGCAGCAUUAACUUGACACGGGAAAGGAACAAAAGAAAAAAAAAAUUGAGUUGAAAAUUGGGCAGGCGGCGAACAAUAGAGCUAGAGGAAGAUGAUAAAAUGGAAGAGAGAGAAUAUCGUGAAGCAGUGGCUGG